CUAACACAUGCAAGUCGAACNGGAAGUUUGGGUUUAGUGGCGCACGGGUGCGUAACACGUGGGAAUGUACCCCAGGGUAAGGAAUAAUGUCUGGAAACGGACACUAAUACCUUAUAAUGACUUCGGUCCAAAGAUUUAUCGCCCUGGGAUCAGCCCGCGCCUGAUUAGAUAGUUGGUGAGGUAACGGCUCACCAAGUCUACGAUCAGUAGGGGGUCUGAGAGGAUGAUCCCCCACACUGGUAUUGAGACACGGACCAGACUCCUACGGGAGGCAGCAGUGAGGAAUAUUGCGCAAUGGAGGAAACUCUGACGCAGCCAUGCCGCGUGAGUGAAGAAGGCCUUAGGGUUGUAAAGCUCUUUCAAUAGUGAAGAUUAUGACGGUAACUAUAGAAGAAGCCCCGGCUAAAUUCGUGCCAGCAGCCGCGGUAAUACGAAUGGGGCAAGCGUUGUUCGGAAUCACUGGGCUUAAAGCGUGCGCAGGCGGAAUCGAAAGUCAGAAGUGAAAUCCCGGAGCUCAACUCCGGAACUGCUUUUGAAACUCCGGUUCUAGAAUUCGAUAGAGGUAAGGAGAAUUCCUAGUGUAGAGGUGAAAUUCGCAGAUAUUAGGAGGAAUACCAGUGGCGUAGGCGCCUUACUGGAUCGAUAUUGACGCUCAUGUACGAAAGCGUGGGGAGCAAACAGGAUUAGAUACCCUGGUAGUCCACGCCGUAAACGAUGUGUGCUAGUUGUUGGAUGUUCAGCAUUCAGUGACGCAGAGAAAUCACUAAGCACACCGCCUGGGGAGUACGGCCGCAAGGCUAAAACUCAAAGGAAUUGACGGGGACCCCGCACAAGCGGUGGAGCAUGUUCUUUAAUUCGAAGCAACGCGAAGAACCUUACCCACACUUGACAUCCUUCUUGGGACUUUCAGAGAUGAUUGUCUUCGGUUCGCGCCGGGGAAGUGACAGGUGCUGCAUGGCUGUCGUCCGCUCGUGUCGUGAGAUGUCAGGUUAAGUCCUGCAACGAGCGCAACCCUUAUCGU
rnacentral:rRNA from 1 species